UACGUAGGGCGCAAGCGUUGUCCGGAAUUAUUGGGCGUAAAGAGCUCGUAGGCGGUCUGUUACGUCCGCUGUGAAAACCCAGGGCUUAACCCUGGGCUUGCAGUGGAUACGGGCAGACUAGAGGCAGGUAGGGGAGAAUGGAAUUCCCGGUGUAGCGGUGAAAUGCGCAGAUAUCGGGAGGAACACCGGUGGCGAAGGCGGUUCUCUGGGCCUGACCUGACGCUGGGGAGCGAAAGCGUGGGGAGCGAA
rnacentral:rRNA from 1 species